UGAUAAACCUUUUUUCCAUUUCUUCGACUCGAAGGAAAUAAAAAUUUGAUCAAUGGUACCAGUUUCAGAGACAAACCUUGUAUCCGGAUACUUCAAGGAAUGACAUUCGGAAUGCUCCAGUCACAAGUAUGGAUAAGGUACUCGAGUAUCGUCGUGUCCCAGAUGCAAUAGUAAUAAGCAUCCAUUGCAUCAGCCGGAGCACAAUUCUUCUGAUCGCCUGCUGCCAUUUUAAAAGCCAAUGAGUAAUCAACCUCUUCAAGGAAUUGACACAACACUACAGCUUGUGUAUAACAUAGCAGGAAUCCUUGAGGUAAGGAAACGACAACACUUUGAAGAGGAAUCGGCAAUUCCCAGCAACUGUUGACUCGCCAUAAUGGUUUCGUUGGAUUUUUACUGACAAGCUUUAAUCUUGAACUUAACGAGCAAUACUUACGAGUAUAUGUUACGAGAGGAAUUCCCCAAUCGUUGUUUGUUAACAACUCCGGAUUUUACUUGCAAGGCCCUCGAUGUCUCCCAUUAGGACAAGAUAUAAAAGGUAGCGAGAUAUCCGAGUCUUGUCUUCUUCUGUAACUUUCUCCAAUACGUUACCAAACGCCUGGG